GCGGCAGGCUUAACACAUGCAAGUCGAGCGAUCCCUUCGGGGAUAGCGGCGGACGGGUGAGUAACGCGUGGGAACGUGCCCUUCACUACGGAAUAGCCCAUGGAAACGUGGAUUAAUACCGUAUACGCCCUUCGGGGGAAAGAAUUUCGGUGAGGGAUCGGCCCGCGUCUGAUUAGGUAGUUGGUGGGGUAAUGGCCUACCAAGCCGACGAUCAGUAGCUGGUUUUAGAGGAUGAUCAGCCACACUGGGACUGAGACACGGCCCAGACUCCUACGGGAGGCAGCAGUGGGGAAUCUUAGACAAUGGGGGCAACCCUGAUCUAGCCAUGCCGCGUGAGUGAUGAAGGUCUUAGGAUCGUAAAGCUCUUUCGCCUGUGAUGAUAAUGACAGUAGCAGGUAAAGAAACCCCGGCUAACUCCGUGCCAGCAGCCGCGGUAAUACGGAGGGGGUUAGCGUUGUUCGGAAUUACUGGGCGUAAAGCGCGCGUAGGCGGACUGGAAAGUUGGGGGUGAAAUCCCGGGGCUCAACCCCGGAACUGCCUUCAAAACUAUCAGUCUAGAGUUCGAGAGAGGUGAGUGGAAUUGCGAGUGUAGAGGUGAAAUUCGUAGAUAUUCGCAGGAACACCAGUGGCGAAGGCGGCUCACUGGCUCGAUACUGACGCUGAG
rnacentral:rRNA from 1 species